AGGGCACCACCAGGAGUGGAGCCUGCGGCUUAAUUUGACUCAACACGGGGAGACUUACCCGGCCUGGACACUGGAAGGAUUGACAGAUUGAGAGCUCUUUCUUGAUUCAGUGGGUGGUGGUGCAUGGCCGUUCUUAGUUGGUGGAGCGAUUUGUCUGGUUAAUUCCGAUAACGAACGAGACUCUAGCCUAUUAAAUAGGCUCUCGGCUUUUAAACGCCGGGAGGACUUCUUAGAGGGACAGGUGGCGGUUCAGCCGCACGAAAGAGAGCAAUAACAGGUCUGUGAUGCCCUUUGUUGUCCGGGGCCGCACGCGCGCUACACUGAAGAGAUCAGCGUGCUUUACGUUCCUGCUCCGACCGGAGUGGGGAACCCAGUGAACCUUCUUCGUGAUUGGGAUAGAAGAUUGUAAUUAUUCUUCUUGAACGAGGAAUUCCCAGUAAAUGCGAGUCAUAAGCUCGCGUUGAUUACGUCCCUGCCCUUUGUACACACCGCCCGUCGCUACUACCGAUUGAACGAUUU
rnacentral:rRNA from 1 species